AUUAAUCUCUCUCUCUCUUUCUUUUCAAUACAGACUCUCUCUCUAUUUUCCUUUAUAAAACUCCAUUGAUGAUACCAUUCAUUUUUAAAUCUCUGCAUACUCUCUCUCUUCAAAUCCACCAUCUAGAUGAGAGAAAGAUCGGAGAAGGAUAUCGCCCCCUGAUUUCCGGCGACAACCCCCCUGCCAAACACCCUCUCCCCUCCGUCUAUACCGUAAUCGCCCCCUUCGAAAUUUUCUGCACAGUAAUCGCCGCCGACUGGAACUCAUACACCCCCCCCCCCAUCUUCUCCGGUGAGCCGCAACCCUUCAUCUCCCUCGCUUCAUCAUAUAGAUUCAACCACGGAUCGGAUGUUUCAGCAACGAUUCCGAGCGGCCAAGUGGUGGUCGUUUGUGCGACUUGGGGUUUCGAGUGAAGGGAGAUGGGGGUUUGCAGGUUUUUCAGUCGUGGAGAAAAUGGGUUUUGGCGGCGACUGUGUUGGUGGUUUUUGAUGUAAACGGAGACGGUGGUGGUGGUGAGGACUGUCGGAGACGGUGGUGGCAGUGGUGGGGUUUUCACGGCGGCGGUGGUGGUGUUUGGUUAGAUAUUUUUGGUAUGCUCUUUUAAUGUUUUUUGCUGGUGAUUUUUUGAUUGUUUGAAUGUUUGAAUCUGUGAACUUUUGAAUGGUUUUGAAUGUUUUCAAACAGUGAUUUUUGCUGGGUUUUUGGUGGUGA